rnacentral:rRNA from 1 species
CCCUUAGAUGUUCUCGGCCGCACACGCGCUACACUGAAAGAGGCGACGUGUUUGCCUGAUUCGAAAGAAUUGGGUAACCCCCUAAUCUCUUUCGUGCUGGGGAUUGAGGUUUGCAAUUAUCCUUCAUGAACGAGGAAUUCCCAGUAAGUGCGAGUCAUUAUCUCGCGCUGACUACGUCCCUGCCCUUUGUACACACCGCCCGUCGCUACUACCGAUUGAAUGAUUUAGUGAGGACUUCGGACUGAGUCCAAUGCGGCUUUCGGGCUGCGUUGGUAUUUCGGAAAGAUGUCCAAACUGUAUCAUUUAGAGGAAGUAAAAGUCGUAACA